ACCCUUGUUUGUUGUGUUGUAGGUCCACAGAGGUAGUCCGCAUCAUUAUUCUAGGAUUGGCAGCAAUUGAUUGACACUGUCUAUCAAAAAUGAAGGAUGAAAAGCCAUGACACUUAGAAAAAGCAACCAUCAAGCAUUUGUUCAGCAUAUUUCAAAUGGCUACUUGCACAGCCCCCAACAUCUCAAACUUUUUAGCCUAUUAUAGGACUUAUCAAUGCUAAAAGAUUUGACUUGCUCACCUAGUAGGUGCAGACCCUAACAACAAUAGUGUAUAACCUACAAUAAUUGGUCAGUAACCCCUAUGCUAGCUAGCCAAACACUAAGAUAUCUCAAUACCAGCUACCAUUGCCUUGAGCACCCUUAGGUAGGACUAGAGGUGCAUGUGACUACCUCUUCUAUAGCACGAGUUUGAAUUUUGAUGACUCUCCUCUGCAUCAACAAUAAAAGGUCUCUAAGUAGGAGGCCGACCUCUACUAUGAGAUCAAGAAGAUGCAUAGCC
rnacentral:lncRNA from 1 species